rnacentral:lncRNA from 1 species
UUGGCAACAGACAAUUGGCAUUUUCAAAACAUGUUAAAUUCUUCCCUUCUGCUGCAGUGCAUCUGGACACAGAACAUACUGGCAGCUUCGCUCAACAUUAUCAUUUUAUUAGAAACUCUUGAAGGAGUAUAUUUGUCUUAUGCCUUCAGAUUUUUGUUAUUUCUAUCUGGUAGCAAGAACCAACAGCGCUCAAGGUACUUCCCAAAGAAAAUAAAGGCACAGCCUCUGCCCUGCAGAACCAUCAAUCCCCUUAAGAUCCUUUGCAGUAUUGUGAAAUAGGAGAACCAGAAAUCUAACACCAACGUUGUGAAAAUGUGAAGGUAGUUUUCUGGUCGUGACAGAUGAGACAUGAGAUCUUCAGCUUCCAGGCUUUCAAGUUUUUCUUCAAGAGAUUCAUUAUGGAAUCGGUAAGAAAGAAGAAAGACCAACGUCUAAAUAACAGGUUUAAAGUAUAAAAAGCAGGAAAAAAAAAUGUGAAAAGC